GCUUGAACCAACUUUUUCAAUGUGCAAAUGGAUAAUCCAUAGCCUUAAAUGAGACCCAGAUCGUACAACAGUACACAAAUUGUUUAUAUGAAAGACUAAUACAAAUAGUUUUUUUAUAUGUAUACGGUUGUUUGAUGAUUUGUUUGUUAACUUAAGAUUGUAUAAAUUUACAACUAAUUGAUGCAAUUAGAUGGAAUAAUGCAUUUUAACUUCAUUAAUGUCGAAUUUCCAAACAGAGAAUUUGGAAAAUAUGACUCUCAAUUGAGGCUUUGAUUAGAGUUAUUGUAGGAACAACAGAUUAGGCAGAGCCCAAUGUAUUGGCCAGCUAACCCCUCAGAGUUCUAUUUAUAGCAUACACUACCUUGGCACUUGGCACUAAGAAGCAAGAGCAGAAGCAGAGCCCCCACACAACCAGGCCAAAUUUCACUCAAAACCCUCUCUCCCUGCCUUUUCUCCUGUUCCCAGCCCAACGAGUGGCUGCUUUUGCCUGGUAGUAAUGGCAGUGGCUAAACUUGUCUGCGUCUUGCUUCUGGCUAUCCUCGGCAUUUCCAUGGUUGCAACCCAGGUAAAGUUCUUGUUGCCUUCCAUGCACAAUCUGUAUGGUUCAUUGCUCUAAUAUGCAAAAUAUUUUCUUGAAUUGCAGGUCAUGGCAAAAGAUACCCAACACCACCUUGACAGCGGGAAUUAUGGACCUGGAAGUCUGAAGAGCUCCCGUAAGUGAUCAUUUUGCAUUUGAAAGCAGGUUUCUAGUAUGAAUUGAUGAUAAUUAAUUAAUUGGUCUCGGAAUGCAACAACUAAAAUCCUAGAAAAGACAAUAAAUUUGAAAAUUUUAUAAUAGAAUAAGCACAUAUGAAAACAGAAUAUUAGUAUAAUAUGAUGUUAAUAAAAUGGAAGGAAUUUGGCAGAAUGCCCAUCGCAGUGCACGAGGAGAUGCAGCAAGACACAGUACCACAAACCGUGCAUGUUCUUCUGCCAAAAAUGCUGUGCAAAGUGCCUAUGCGUGCCUCCAGGCUACUAUGGAAAUAAAAAUGUAUGCCCCUGCUACAACAACUGGAAGACCAAGAAAGGAGGACCCAAAUGUCCCUGAUCAAACCAACAAUCACUUUUUAUAAUUUCAUUUCAUUAAUUCUAAUGUAAUAAUUUGAUUCUUGCCUAAGCAUGUUUCAAUUUGGCUGGGCUUCUUGUUGUCGCCAAUUUUUAAUUUGUAUGCUUGAAGUUGAAUUGUUGGGCCUAUGUUGAAUACAGUUAGCCUAUGUGAAUGACUAUAAAUAGAAAUCUAUUAUCCUCAUCCAGGUCACAGGUUCGGGCAUGGAUCAUUCUCUGCCAGGGUUUUGUUAUUUGUGGGCCUGGCCGAGUUGGCCUCUAUAUUGAUGGAAAUCUACGUUUGGGCUAUUGGCCUCUAUUUAUAUUGUGCUUAAGCCUAAUGUAAAUGAGGAUCACCUAUUUAUAAGUAAAAUUAAACAUUCUGUAAGGGAUGAAAGAUUUAAGAAUAUAUUCUUUCAUCAAGAUAACACAAAGAAAUGCAAC
rnacentral:misc_RNA from 1 species